AGACGGGGGGGGGUCCCCCUCCUCCCUCACCGAUCCAUGGGCGUCCCUCCCGAAGCUGCGCACUCGGUCGAAGAGAAUGACCUUCCCCACCAGGAGAGGACCGGUCUUCGGUCAAGGGUAUACGAGUAGCUGCGCUCCCCUGCUAGAACCUCCAAACAAGCUCUCAAGAAAUACUGGUUUAAAGUCCUCAAAUUUGGUGAAAUAUGUAAAUCUACAGAUGUAAGAACAUGAAUCU
rnacentral:snRNA from 1 species